UUGUUCGCCUGGACACAAAUGAGAAUUCAUUAGAUUAACCGGAGCUGAAUAAUGUGCUAGAUAAGCAAAAGUAUGUAGGGUGCAUGAAUGGUCUUCUUGGCUUGAUAUAAUAACUCACAGUUUUUUUAUAAAUAUAUGAAGCCAAACAGCAAAAUGAGUUAGUUAACGCAACACCUUCAAAAUUUUAAUAAAUAUCCAGCAGCUGACUUGAUAUAUAUUUUUAUACAACUGUUAUGGUGAUUGGCGAUUUUAUGAGCCGUCCAUCCACCCUGAUCUGACGGUGGGGAAAUAGGGGUUACACGGAGUUACAAAACUAAAAUUACAGGAAAUUACCCACCGUUACAAAAUUUUAGUGGGACCAGUUGAUUUUUUCAAGGGUAAAUCCGUCACACGAUAGCCUGCGGUGCCCACAUUGAACCCACGUAUCUACCUAGCCGGCCACGCUGCCGCGGGGAUUAGGGAUCGCCACCGCAUGGCUCCGCCAUGGCCACGUCGCCGCCGUCCACCUCCGCUAUGGCCGGCCUAGCGCCGCCGUCCACGUGCGCCAUGACCGGCCUAGCGUCUCUGUCCACCUUCUCCGUGGCUGCCAUGGCGCCGCUGUCCACCUCCCCCAUGUCCGACCCGCCUACCUCCACCGUGCUCAGCCCAGUGCCGUUGUUUACCUCGACCAUGGCCCCCAGCAGUUCUUCCCAUCACCAAUCCAUCCCCCUAUCCGACCAUUCCCAUCGCCGGCAAGGUCCGCUGGAAGAGGCUGACAUGAAUCCCCAAGAUCAAGAUCCAAGAGGACUAGAUGAUUGCAGCGUCAGAGAAGAAUUUGUAACAAUCUACAAUAAGUGUCAUGCCCAACUAAAUUCCACAACAAGCUAGCUUGAACUAUCUGAAUAGCUUGAAUUGCAGAAGCAGUAGCAGUAGCAGUCAGUACUGAAGUUGAUCUACUAGGAUGAUUUUAUAUUUAUGUCUCAAAAUUUCUGGUGCCUCUCGCUUCAUAAGAAAAUAUUAAAUCUCUCAUAUAUUACGUGUUUAUCUGGAAGCCGCUCCAUUCUUUGUUAUAUACUUCUGUUUAACCCAGUAUCACAUUAUAUAUGUACCGCUACUACUGUUUUCUAAAUGCAUUUACUUCGGUGUUCACAGAGUCUUUUGAGUAUGCUUUUAUUUCCGGAGGACGCAUCCUGAGUGACUACACAUGAGCAGUUUUUCUUGCUCCAGGGUCGAGCCUCAGAACAACUAGCUAACCUGGACAUAUACGAAAGCACAUCAUUAGAGCCAGAGGGAGAAGAUCAAGGUAUAUGUGAUAAUUUAUAUUCCCUAGGAAAAUAUACGAUGAGGCUCCAGUCAACAUAUCCUUACCUGGGAAGAUAUUUGGCGGAAGUGCUCUCUCCUAGCUGUGAGAUAUAAUAUCUUCUCGUGGAGGUGUGGAUGAAGGACCCCUCCAACGUGCAAAAAAUUGGCACAUGGAGCUGCCGGAGCCAGACGGCCCAGCCUCACCGCCGGUAGAAAAGCGCGGGAUGGUGCAUGGCGUCCUCAUCUAUGUUGGAUCAGUGGAGGAUCACAGCACCACGUUGAUAUGGAAAGAGAUGAUUUGGCAAAGAAAAGACCCAUCUACUUUGCAAUUACUAUACUUUGUCUAUAAGA